GAUGAACGCUGGCGGCGUGCUUAACACAUGCAAGUCGAACGGAAAGGCCCAAGCUUGCUUGGGUACUCGAGUGGCGAACGGGUGAGUAACACGUGGGUGAUCUGCCCUGCACUUCGGGAUAAGCCUUGGAAACUGGGUCUAAUACCGGAUAGGACCACAUUUUGGAUGGUGUGGUGGAAAGUUUUUCGGCGGGGGAUGGGCUCGCUGCCUAUCCGCUUGUUGGUGGGGUAAUGGCCUACCAAGGCGUCGACGGGUAGCCGGCCUGGGCGGGUGUACGGCCACAUUGGGACUGAGAUACGGCCCAGACUCCUACGGGAGGCAGCAGUGGGGAAUAUUGCACAAUGGGCGCAAGCCUGAUGCAGCGACGCCGCGUGGGGGAUGACGGCUUUCGGGUUGUAAACGCCUUUCGCUAGGGACGAAGCGUUAUGUGACGGUACCUUGAGAAGAAGCACCGGCUAACUACGUG
rnacentral:rRNA from 1 species